rnacentral:rRNA from 1 species
GACGAACGCUGGCGGCGUGCUUAACACAUGCAAGUCGAGCGGAAAGGCCCUUCGGGGUACUCGAGCGGCGAACGGGUGAGUAACACGUGAGUAACCUGCCCCAGACUUUGGGAUAACCCUCGGAAACGGGGGCUAAUACCGGAUACGACACAGCUUCGCAUGGGGUCUGUGUGGAAAGUUUUUCGGUUUGGGAUGGGCUCGCGGCCUAUCAGCUUGUUGGUGGGGUGAUGGCCUACCAAGGCGACGACGGGUAGCCGGCCUGAGAGGGCGACCGGCCACACUGGGACUGAGACACGGCCCAGACUCCUACGGGAGGCAGCAGUGGGGAAUAUUGCACAAUGGGCGGAAGCCUGAUGCAGCGACGCCGCGUGAGGGAUGAAGGCCUUCGGGUUGUAAACCUCUUUCAGCAGGGACGAAGCGUAAGUGACGGUACCUGCAGAAGAAGCGCCGGCCAACUACGUG